AGCCUCAGGACAUUCUGUCAUGGGGACUGGGAUGAGGAUCUCAUCCAUCUCCUUGGGCAUGAACAUUGUUCCAUUCCCUGCUGUCUCUACCACUGCUGUGCCAACUACUACUGAAAACACAUCUGUGCAAAACCGAGCCAGAGUUUCUGGGGAGAAACAAACAAGAUGAGUGCCCUUUGAAAAUAGGUGCAGACACAAAGACACCUAUUGAGGGAUUCCACUUCCAGAAACCUCCAGAACACGUGCAGGAACAGAAAGAGAGAGCAGCUUAGCGGUUGCGAGGGGCCAGGCUGGGGGAGCAAUGGGCAGGGAGGGCUUGGGCUCAGGAUCUCUUUUGGGGAAGGAGAUAUCCUGCAGCGAUGUUCUGGGGUGUGGUGGCACAGCGUUGGGAAUGUACUUCAUGCUCAUGACGAGUUCAAAGGAAAUCAAGUACUUUUAUUUAAAAUGAAUAAUACACAGCAUAAAGGAGAUGGA